AAUUAAUUAGUCUAAAUAAGACGUAUACUUUGAAAGUAUGAAAUAAUGGUUAAAAACAUUAUUAAUUU
rnacentral:tRNA from 1 species